CCCUUAGAUGUUCUGGGCCGCACGCGCGCUACACUGUUCGACGCAGCGAGUCUUAACCUUGACCGAAAGGUUUGGGUAAUCUUCAGCAAAGUCGAACGUGAUGGGGAUCGAUCAUUGCAAUUAUUGAUCGUGAACGAGGAAUUCCUAGUAAGUGCAAGUCAUCAGCUCGCGCUGAUUACGUCCCUGCCCUUUGUACACACCGCCCGUCGCUACUACCGAUUGAAUGGUUUAGUGAGAUCUCUGGAUUGACGCUGGCUAGGGGGCGACCCUUGGCCAGACUGUUGAGAAACUGCUCAAACUUGAUCAUUUAGAGGAAGUAAAAGUCGUAACA
rnacentral:rRNA from 1 species